rfam:Xylona heveae TC161 unplaced genomic scaffold L228scaffold_1, whole genome shotgun sequence.
GUCGCGAUGCCAGAGUGGUUAUUGGGUAUGACUAGAAAUCAUAUGGCUUCGGCCGCAGAGGUUCGAAUCCUCUUCGCGACG